CUGCACUUUCCUCUAAAAUGUUUUUAUUGGAGCACAUUGUCAUACAGUUACAUGUUUACUGCAUACACAUUGCGUGCAAAAUUUUUACAUCCAUAAAGACAAAUGUGCAGUUAGG